rnacentral:lncRNA from 1 species
GGAAACCCUGUGUGUUCCCUCCUGUCUUUUUCUAGUCAAUCUUUCCUAACCUUUAUUCUGAUUCCCAUAACCACAACUUUUUCCUUCCUGUCCUAGCCAAGUUCAUAUAAAAGGAAUUAUGCAGUAUAGAAGGAAUUGACAUUCCUUUUAUCCCAAGAGGAAUAAGUGAUUGAAGACUUUUAAGAAGGAAAUAGGCACAAUCUGAUUUAUGUUUGUAAUGAUCUUUUUGGCUACUGUGCGAAGAAUGGUGAGUAUGCCACUUAAGUAUUAUUUUUCUUCCCAUCUUCCAGGGGGAAUAUGACUCAAUGAAAUUCUUGGGUCGACCAGAAUUUCCAUACUGGACCCAUUAUUAAGGGAACCUGGAAUUAUUUCUGCCAUUCCCGAUUCUUCCCAGC